rnacentral:tRNA from 1 species
GCGGGAAUGGCGGAAUUGGCAGACGCGCCAGGUUGAGGGCCUGGUGGGGGUUAACCCCGUGGGAGUUCAAAUCUCCCUUCCCGCA